GGCUCGUUGGUCUAGGGGUAUGAUUCGCGCUUUGGGUGUGAAAGGUCCUGGGUUCAAAUCCCAGAUGAGCUC
rfam:Danio rerio chromosome 4, GRCz11 reference primary assembly.